AGAGUGAAACUUAAAGGAAUUGACGGGGAUCCGCACAAGCGGUGGAGCAUGUGGUUUAAUUUGAAGAUACGCGUAGAACCUUACCCGCUCUUGACAUCUUCCGCAAAGCUAUAGAGAUAUAGUGGAGGCUAACGGAAUGACAGAUGGUGCAUGGUUGUCGUCAGCUCGUGUCGUGAGAUGUUCGGUUAAGUCCUGCAACGAGCGCAACCCUUGUCCUUAGUUAGAUGAUCUAAGGAGACUGCCCGAGUAAUUGGGAGGAAGGUGGGGACGACGUCAAA
rnacentral:rRNA from 1 species